UACACUCCUACGGGAGGCAGCAGUGGGGAAUUUUGGACAAUGGGCGAAAGCCUGAUCCAGCAAUGCCGCGUGAGUGAAGAAGGCCUUCGGGUUGUAAAGCUCUUUUGUCAGGGAAGAAACGGUGAGAGCUAAUAUCUUUUGCUAAUGACGGUACCUGAAGAAUAAGCACCGGCUAACUACGUGCCAGCAGCCGCGGUAAUACGUAGGGUGCAAGCGUUAAUCGGAAUUACUGGGCGUAAAGCGUGCGCAGGCGGUUUUGUAAGUCUGAUGUGAAAUCCCCGGGCUCAACCUGGGAAUUGCAUUGGAGACUGCAAGGCUAGAAUCUGGCAGAGGGGGGUAGAAUUCCACGUGUAGCAGUGAAAUGCGUAGAUAUGUGGAGGAACACCGAUGGCGAAGGCAGCCCCCUGGGUCAAGAUUGACGCUCAUGCACGAAAGCGUGGGGAGCAAACAGGAUUAGAAACCCGGGUAGUCCCAUGAU
rnacentral:rRNA from 1 species